rnacentral:rRNA from 1 species
UACGUAGGGUGCAAGCGUUGUCCGGAAUUAUUGGGCGUAAAGAGCUCGUAGGCGGUUUGUCGCGUCUGCUGUGAAAACUCGGGGCUUAACCCCGGGCCUGCAGUGGGUACGGGCAGACUAGAGUGCGGUAGGGGAGACUGGAAUUCCUGGUGUAGCGGUGAAAUGCGCAGAUAUCAGGAGGAACACCGGUGGCGAAGGCGGGUCUCUGGGCCGUAACUGACGCUGAGGCACGAAAGCGUGGGUAGCAAACAGG